CUCACACACAUCUCAUCUUCAUGCCUAAUUCCUUCUGGGACAAGACACACUUGCUACUUCAUCUAUGGUGCCAUUCUUGCAGAAUCUGGUGACAGAAGGACUUUAUCAUAUAGAAAGACUUAAGAACCACACAGCCCCAUGAUUACUGCCAUCAGCGCACCCAGGCAUAGUGGGAAAAGUGCCCAUAUAGAAGACUGAAGAGUUCUUUGUGGCACUGGGAUGGCAACUCAGUAGUAAAGUGCUUGCCUCACAAGCAUGAGAAUCUUAAUUCAGUCCUCAAAACCUAAUAAAAAUUCUGGACAUAA
rnacentral:lncRNA from 1 species